GGUUAAGUGACUAAGCGUACACGGUGGAUGCCUUGGCAGUCAGAGGCGAUGAAAGACGUAGUAACUUGCGAUAAGCCCAGAUUAGGUAGUAACAACCAUUUGAGUCUGGGAUUUCUGAAUGGGGAAACCCACGUGCAUAAGCACGUAUCCUUACCUGAAUACAUAGGGUAAGGAGGCGAACCGGGGGAACUGAAACAUCUAAGUACCCCGAGGAAAAGAAAUCAACCGAGAUUCCGAAAGUAGCGGCGAGCGAAAUUGGACUAGCCCUUAAGCUUUACACGCGUUAGACGAACGGUCUGGAAAGUCCGACGAUACAGGGUGAUAGUCCCGUAGUUGACGACGUGUGUUCAGUGAAAUCGAGUAGGGCGGGACACGUGAUAUCCUGUCUGAAUAUGGGGGGACCAUCCUCCAAGGCUAAAUACUACUGACUGACCGAUAGUGAACCAGUACCGUGAGGGAAAGGCGAAAAGAACCCCUGUGAGGGGAGUGAAAUAGAACCUGAAACCGUGUACGUACAAGCAGUAGGAGCAGGCUUUGUCCUGUGACUGCGUACCUUUUGUAUAAUGGGUCAGCGACUUAUAUUCAGUGGCAAGGUUAACCAUCUAGGGGAGCCGUAGGGAAACCGAGUCUUAACUGGGCGUUCAGUCUCUGGAUAUAGACCCGAAACCAGGUGAUCUAGCCAUGGGCAGGUUGAAGGUUGAGUAACAUCAACUGGAGGACCGAACCGACUAAUGUUGAAAAAUUAGCGGAUGACUUGUGGCUAGGGGUGAAAGGCCAAUCAAACCUGGAGAUAGCUGGUUCUCCCCGAAAGCUAUUUAGGUAGCGCCUCGGACGAAUACUACUGGGGGUAGAGCACUGUUAAGGCUAGGGGGUCAUCCCGACUUACCAACCCUUUGCAAACUCCGAAUACCAGUAAGUACUAUCCGGGAGACACACGGCGGGUGCUAACGUCCGUCGUGGAGAGGGAAACAACCCAGACCGCCAGCUAAGGUCCCAAAUUACUACUAAGUGGGAAACGAUGUGGGAAGGCUCAGACAGCCAGGAUGUUGGCUUAGAAGCAGCCAUCAUUUAAAGAAAGCGUAAUAGCUCACUGGUCGAGUCGGCCUGCGCGGAAGAUGUAACGGGGCUAAGUAGUAAACCGAAGCUGCGGCAAUAUACUUUUGAGUAUUGGGUAGGGGAGCGUUCUGUAAGCGGUUGAAGGUGUGUGGUAACGCAUGCUGGACGUAUCAGAAGUGCGAAUGCUGACAUGAGUAACGAUAAAGGGGGUGAAAAACCUCCUCGCCGGAAGACCAAGGGUUCCUGUCCAACGUUAAUCGGGGCAGGGUAAGUCGACCCCUAAGGCGAGGCCGAAAGGCGUAGUCGAUGGGAAACGGGUUAAUAUUCCCGUACUUCUUACAAUUGCGAUGGGGGGACGGAGAAGGCUAGGUGGGCCUGGCGACGGUUGUCCAGGUUCAAGUGCGUAGGCUUAAGAGUUAGGUAAAUCCGGCUCUUUCUAAGGCUGAGACACGACGUCGAGCACCUACGGGUGUGAAGUCAUUGAUGCCAUGCUUCCAGGAAAAGCCUCUAAGCUUCAGAUUGUAAGGAAUCGUACCCCAAACCGACACAGGUGGUCGGGUAGAGAAUACCAAGGCGCUUGAGAGAACUCGGGUGAAGGAACUAGGCAAAAUGGUACCGUAACUUCGGGAGAAGGUACGCUCUUGAUGGUGAAGUCCCUUGCGGAUGGAGCUGACGAGAGUCGCAGAUACCAGGUGGCUGCAACUGUUUAUUAAAAACACAGCACUGUGCAAAAUCGUAAGAUGACGUAUACGGUGUGACGCCUGCCCGGUGCCGGAAGGUUAAUUGAUGGGGUUAGACUUCGGUCGAAGCUCUUGAUCGAAGCCCCGGUAAACGGCGGCCGUAACUAUAACGGUCCUAAGGUAGCGAAAUUCCUUGUCGGGUAAGUUCCGACCUGCACGAAUGGCGUAAUGAUGGCCACGCUGUCUCCACCCGAGACUCAGUGAAAUUGAAAUCGCUGUGAAGAUGCAGUGUACCCGCGGCUAGACGGAAAGACCCCGUGAACCUUUACUACAGCUUGGCACUGAACAUUGACCCUACAUGUGUAGGAUAGGUGGGAGGCUUUGAAGCACGUACGCCAGUAUGUGUGGAGCCGUCCUUGAAAUACCACCCUUGUAGUGUUGAUGUUCUAACGUCGACCCCUAAUCGGGGUUGCGGACAGUGCCUGGUGGGUAGUUUGACUGGGGCGGUCUCCUCCCAAAGAGUAACGGAGGAGCACGAAGGUGGGCUAAUCACGGUUGGACAUCGUGAGGUUAGUGCAAUGGCAUAAGCCCGCUUGACUGCGAGAAUGACAAUUCGAGCAGGUGCGAAAGCAGGUCAUAGUGAUCCGGUGGUUCUGAAUGGAAGGGCCAUCGCUCAACGGAUAAAAGGUACUCCGGGGAUAACAGGCUGAUACCGCCCAAGAGUUCAUAUCGACGGCGGUGUUUGGCACCUCGAUGUCGGCUCAUCACAUCCUGGGGCUGAAGUCGGUCCCAAGGGUAUGGCUGUUCGCCAUUUAAAGUGGUACGCGAGCUGGGUUUAGAACGUCGUGAGACAGUUCGGUCCCUAUCUGCCGUGGGCGUUGGAAGAUUGAAGGGGGCUGCUCCUAGUACGAGAGGACCGGAGUGGACGAACCUCUGGUGUUCGGGUUGUGUCGCCAGACGCAUUGCCCGGUAGCUAAGUUCGGAAUCGAUAACCGCUGAAAGCAUCUAAGCGGGAAGCGAGCCCUGAGAUGAGUCUUCCCUGAUACUUUAAGUAUCCUAAAGGGUUGUCGGAGACUACGACGUUGAUAGGUCAGGUGUGUAAGUGCUGUGAGGCAUUGAGCUAACUGAUACUAAUUGCCCGUGAGGCUUAACCAU
rnacentral:rRNA from 1 species